rnacentral:lncRNA from 1 species
AUCGAUUCAAAAUAACAAGAAAAGAAACUCAUAAUGUGAGUUAUUCCACUUAAAAUAGAGGAAUGGAAGGAACAAGAGAAAGAAUAUGCAUCUCGCGAUGCCCCCCAGCACGAGACUAUUUUCCCCUUGAAGUGUAAGGCGAGGUAACUUGUGAGAUGGGGACAAGAGUCCUUUAGCAGCUGCCACAGGCAAUAUCCUUAUAAUCCCCCCAGGCGACGAAUGUUGGCUGUGGACGAGUUGCCCUUCAUGGAGAAGUUACUCGAGGAAGAAGGAGAUGGAAGAAAAAGAAAAGGAAGAGACAAAAACAUGUCAACCACAGUUUCCUCCUUGAAGUGUAGGGCAAGGUAAUUCACGAGAUGGAGAUAAGAAUCCUCUUACGGUUGCCACAGACAAUGUCCUUUUCACCACCACAAGCAAUAAAUGUUGGGCGUCGAUGAUUCACCCUUCAUGGAGAAGUUACUUGAGGAAGAAGAAGAUGAAAGAAAAAGAAAAGGAAGAGAAAAAAACAUGUCAACCACAGUUUACCCCUUGAAGUGUAGGGCAAGGCAAUUCAAG